rnacentral:rRNA from 1 species
GUGAGGAAUAUUGGUCAAUGGGCGGGAGCCUGAACCAGCCAAGUCGCGUGAAGGAAGAAGGAUCUAUGGUUCGUAAACUUCUUUUGCAGGGGAAUAAAGUGCAGGACGUGUCCUGUUUUGUAUGUACCCUGAGAAUAAGGAUCGGCUAACUCCGUGCCAGCAGCCGCGGUAAUACGGAGGAUCAGAGCGUUAUCCGGAUUUAUUGGGUUUAAAGGGUGCGUAGGUGGUUUGAUAAGUCAGCGGUGAAAGUUUGCAGCUUAACUGUAAAAAUGCCGUUGAAACUGUCGGACUUGAGUGUAAAUGAGGUAGGCGGAAUGCGUGGUGUAGCGGUGAAAUGCAUAGAUAUCACGCAGAACUCCGAUUGCGAAGGCAGCUUACUAAGCUACAACUGACACUGAAGCACGAAAGCGUGGGGAUCAAACAGGAUUAGAAACCCCGGUAGUCC